rnacentral:misc_RNA from 1 species
GAUCAAUUUUGCAACUACAAUUUAUUUCUCUGCACAAAGAUUAAUACCUUCAAUACAUACUACUAUCAAGAAGCAGGAAUAUCUGACAAUCAGAUAAUCAUAACUGGAAUGCACAAAGCAGUGCUGUAUUUCACACAAUUUGACAAUUGCAGAGUACAUUCUCCCACCAGAUAGUCCCUGCAUCUACAUGUUAAUAAAUAAGAAACCCUAGGACAAGAUUUCAGGAGUGCAGCCACAAUCGAUCAUGCAGUCGCUCUUCUCCAGCACCAAACAUUUCAUCAACCCUUUCCCCAUCACGAUAAAAAUGAAAUGUAGGGGUGUAACGAAUAUGCUGUGUUGUUUCUGGGCAUUCAUCAAUAUCUGCAUAUAUGAAGGACUGCUUGGGGAAGUUGUUACUUAGCUGGCAAAAUGCAGGGAGGAUUUGGCUGCACACCCCACACCUGAAAAUGACAGGAACAAGAAGACGAUCAAUUACAAAGAUUAACCCGGAAGAUACUGUUGAUAAAAUGAACCGACGUAACUUCACCCCAAAAUGCACCUUAAGCAGAGGAUUGACAAGUCAUAGGAAUCACUUUGCCCACUUACCUGCCUAGUGUUCUUAAAGCAAUGUAGAGAAAAAAAUUCAAGUCAAUAUUGCAGUGAUUCGUCAUAAAGAACUCUUGAAAGAGAGUUCGAGUAGCCUAGCUUUAUUAGCUGGAAAGCAACUCGAUAUAGUCUAGAAUGCCAUCUACCCUGUUAAGAGCUUAGGUGAGGGAGAUAAGAGGCGGUGGGGGAGGUUAUAGACGUUGAGAAUUGCAAUCCUUAAAUCCCUUCUCGUGUUGAACCAAAUCGGUAGUCCCCUCCAAGCUGAGAUUUCACAUGGAAACAUUCUAAGGAUGCAUAGUAACAUUCCUAAUUAUCAAACAAGCUAUACAUCGAACACUUUGUACGCAUAUAUGAAACCCACGUUACAAGUCCAAAAAACAAGUGAAAAUCAUGUAUGAGAACAUGAGUUUGAAAGAAAGAACUAUACCAAGAGGCACCAUAGUUGAUAACUGCCUGCAAGCAUCAACAACAAAACUAGCUCAGGUAAAGAGGAAAAGGAAAGGACAAAACGAGCUCCUAAGGAAAGAAGAAGAAAAAAAGAAAGCAGCAUAUGGUUACAGGUGUCUUGGAAACUCUAAUAUCACGAAGAAAUUCGAGGAGCUUUUGAUCAGAGGAAGCACUCUUCAGGUUGCCAUGGCGAUUCACUGGGAGUUGCAGACCAGUCCACUCUAACCCUUUCUUUGAGGUGUCCUCCAUUUCUUGAUACUCCAAGGUUAUGAGUUGCGUCCAAUUCCAAGAACAUCUUUAUCUGCCCCACCGAAGCCUUUCAUCAGCUGAUGAUCUCUUCCACGUAGCCCAUAUGGGCCAUCGCCAGAAGUGUAUAAUACAAUGGAAAAG